UAAAUGAGGUUUCAGACAUAGCGACAACUUACGGUUUGAUCUCUUUAAUAUACUGCUGGAGAAAAUUAUACGAGAUGCAGAUGUGAAUAGAUUUUGCACACUACUCACAAGACAACACGUGCUAUACGUCUAUGCCGACGACAUCGAUAUCAUGGGACGGUCAACAGAAAUAGUAAGUGCAGCCUUUGAAAGAGAAUCAGUGAAAAUGGGUCUGGUAGUAAAUGGAGCCCAGACAAAAUGAAUGGUAUCAACUCCCAAAACGCCUUGUACAACCGAGCAGAUAAAGCGAAUGGAGAAAGUUGGAAACCACAACUUUGAGAUAGUCAGUAACUUUAUCUACCUAAGCACCGCCGUAACCGAAACGAAUGACACCAGCUUUGAAAUAAAGCGGAGAAUAAUACUGGCAAACAGAUGCUACUAUCGAUUCUGUUGGCAGUUAAGAAACAAGACCACCCCUCGACAGACUAAAAUUACAGUAUACAAGAUGCUGAUCCUACCCGUGUUGUUAUAUGGUUCUGAGACAUGGGUGUUCUGUAAUAGCCAAUUAAAGUAAAGUAAAUGGGACAAUCUACUUGUUUACCUACGAUGUGAGAGAUAAUCCCUAUAUAUAUGUUGGUGUGUUUAUAGAAAACAAAUAUGCAGUUAAGCAUCAUGUGAAAUAGUGAAAUAAAAUUGGCGAGGGCUGACAUUCCUAUCUUCUCAAAAUAGCCCGAACAUGAAGCGUAACACGGUCCGAAAUUUUGGAACUUUUUAAAUUGAAAUCCGAAAUUCAAUUUAUGCGGCGAAGGCAUUUAUACAGCUAAUUACAGACGGACGUACCCUUCUUUGUUAACUAAAGCUAUAUAAUAUUGUGGAUAUGGCGUAACGGAAUUUCUGUGAUAAUAUGGUGCAAGGCGUAUUAAUCAGAUGGCCGCAUCAACCCAGCUGAUAGAGUUUGAUACGUCAAUUAAUUUUUGAAUUCGCCUUACAAAAAUAUAAACUUCAAAAAAUAUUUUUUUAA